UGAUUGUGCUCUGUUCAGUAAAAUGUUCAA
rnacentral:piRNA from 1 species